rnacentral:rRNA from 1 species
GGGACUACCAUGGCAGUAACGGGUAACGAAGAAUUAGGGUUCGAUUUCGGAGAGGGAGCAUGAGAAACGGCUACCACAUCUAAGGAAGGCAGCAGGCGCGUAAAUUACCCAAUCCUGACUCAGGGAGGUAGUGACAAGAAAUAGCAAACCGGGAACCUCAUGGUUUUAAGGUAUUGCAAUGAGAACAAUUUAAAACCCUUAGCGAGAAUCAAGUGGAGGACAAGUCUGGUGCCAGCACCCGCGGUAAUUCCAGCUCCACUAGCGUAUAUUAAAGUUGUUGCAGUUAAAAAGCUCGUAGUUGAACCUCUGUCUGGGGCUAGUUUUGGCUUUGGUCAGGCUAGUUCUAGGCAUCCGCCUACAAGACUUAGAGGGCAUUCAGUUGUUCACUAGGAGGAGUAGGCAUUUUACUUUGAAAAAAUUAGAGUGUUUAAGGCAGGCAAUCGCCCGCAUAUAUUAGCAUGGAAUAAUAGAAUAGGACACUUUUCCAUUUCGUUGGUUAUUGGAAUCGUGUAAUGAUUAAUAGGGACAGUUGUGGGCAUUUGUAUUUAAUUGUCAGAGGUGAAAUUCUUGGAUUUAUUAAAGACAAACUAACGCGAAAGCAUUUGCCAAGGAUGUUUUCAUUAAUCAAGAACGAAAGUUAGGGGAUCAAAGACGAUCAGAUACCGUCCUAGUCUUAACUAUAAACUAUUCCGACUCAAUGUUUGACUGGCUUAUAUAACCAGUUGAGCGUUGUAUGAGAAAUCAAAGUCUUUAGGUUCUGGGGGGAGUAUGGUUGCAAAGCUGAAACUUAAAGGAAUUGACGGAAGAGCACAACCAGGAGUGGAUUCUGCGGCUUAAUUUGACUCAACACGGGGAAACUUACCAGGUUAAAACAAUAGUGGGAUUGACAGUUUGAGAGCGCUUUCUUGAUUGGUUGGGUGGUGGUGCAUGGCCGUUCUUAGUUGGUGGAGUGAUUUGUCUGCUUAAUUGCGUUAACGAACGAGACCUUAACCUGCUUACUAGACUGGCGAUCAUCAAUCGUUAGCUCUUCUUAGAGGGACUUUGUUGUUUUAACUCCAAGGAAGUUUGAGGCAAUAACAGGUCUGUGAUGCCCUUAGAUAUCCUGGGCCGCACGCGUCAUACAAUGACUAGUUCAGAAAGUUUUCUCCUGACCCGAAAGGGGAUGGGUAAUCUUGAUAAUACUAGUCGUGUUAGGGAUCGAUCUUUGCAAUUAUAGAUCUUGAACGAGGAAUUCCUAGUAAGUGCGGUUCAUCAGACCGUACUGAUUACGUCCCUGCUCUUUGUACACACCGCCCGUCGCUUCUACCGAGUGGGUGGUCCGGUGAGAUAAUUGAACUUCGCAGGUAACUGAGAGGAAAGUC